CGAGCCUGGUUUUCUACCUGUGCUACCUACUUUCUCUAAGGAUGUCCUGCUCUGGAAAUCUUCAAGGGAAUGUCUUUUACCUUAAAGUAACUCCCCUUCCUCCCUGUCAGGUAUCUCUGCAUAACUCUGAAGAGUUUUGAAGAUGCAAAGUCCUUCCUCUCUGCCCAUCCAGGGAAGCUUCUGGCCACCCUCGGGGCUGGCAAUGAGGGCAUCCACAGAUGGCACCUGGCCCACUCAUCAAAUGGCAGUUACCCUCUCUCGUGAUGAUUGUCAGCGUCUAGUGUGAAAGAUGGGAAGAGUCUACAUCGAUUCUUUUUUUUUUUUUUUUUCUUUAAGA